rnacentral:rRNA from 1 species
GACGAACGCUGGCGGCGUGCUUAACACAUGCAAGUCGAACGGAAAGGCCCUGCUUGCAGGGUGCUCGAGUGGCGAACGGGUGAGUAACACGUGGGUGAUCUGCCCCUUACUUUGGGAUAAGCCUGGGAAACUGGGUCUAAUACUGGAUAGGACCAUGCUGUAGGUGGUGUGGUGGAAAGAUUAGUUUCGGUAAGGGAUGAGCUCGCGGCCUAUCAGCUUGUUGGUGGGGUAAUGGCCUACCAAGGCGUCGACGGGUAGCCGGCCUGAGAGGGUGGUGGGCGACAUUGGGGGUACGGAGCGGCGCAGACGCCUACGGGGGGCAGCAGUGGGGGGGAUUGCUGAACGAGGGCAGGACGGAUGCAGCAGCACCGCGGGGGGGGGGACGGCGGUCGUGUGGUAAACAACUUCCUGCGAUGACGAAGCCCUUGUGGUGACGGUAGUGGGAAAAGAAGCACCGGCUAACUACGUG